GAAUGCGGAUUUUGUUAUUAAGUGGUAAUUUGUCAUUGACAAAUUACCACUCAAUGACAAAAUCCGCUA
rnacentral:pre_miRNA from 1 species